GGUGGAAGAGGACAUCUUUGCAGUUCAAGCUCUCAUCACCAGCCAUAAGGGCAGUUGCAAAACAAGUGCAAAAAGAGUCAAGCUCUGUGAGUGCGUGAUCAUCCCCCCGCAGGUUUUUGGAUCUCUGCAGCUCCUGCAGUGACAGUGACUGUACAUGGUCAGGGCUGUGCUCAAGAACUGCCAUGUGAAAAGUCACCAUCUUCCUCCUCCAAGGGUCUCGCCUGGUCAGCUAGAGAGGUGACUGAGGCUUGGUUGCCUGCUUCCACCAAAGAUAGAAUCCAUCUCAGCCUUGCACUCUUUAAGGCAGGAAUGUCCUCACCAUCCUGUUCGGUACUGGAGAUGGAGAUCUUCCAGUACAUUGACGUACACCAAAAUGAUUUCAUUGAGGAUCUUAAGGAAUGGGUGGCAGUGGAAAGCGAUUCUGUUCAACCAGAUCUGAGGAAAGAAGUAAUACGAAUGAUGGCAUUGGCAGCAGACAGACUUGGAGCACUGGGAGCCACUGUUAAUUUAGUAAAUUUGGGGUUACAUCAGUUACCGGAUGGUCAGGACCUCCCGCUGCCUCCUGUGAUUCUGGGAGAAUUGGGGAAGGAUCCCCAAAACCCCACUGUAUGUUUCUAUGGCCAUGUAGAUGUGCAGCCUGCCAAAAAGGAAGAUGGCUGGAAAACUGACCCUUACACACUGACUGAAAUCAAUGGAAAUCUCUAUGGGCGUGGAGCAACAGAUAAUAAAGGGCCUGUCUUAGCUUGGAUAAAUGCAGUGGAAACAUUUAAAGCCUUGAAAUUAAUUUCUCUUACGUUCAUUCAGGCCAUGCCAGUAAACUUCAAGUUUGUAAUUGAAGGCAUGGAAGAAGCAGGGUCCUUGGGGCUAGAAAAAUUACUUCAAGAAGAAAAACAGUGCUUUUUCUCUGAUGUUGAUUAUAUUGUGAUUUCGGACAACCUCUGGCUCAGCAACAAGAAGCCUGCCCUUACAUAUGGGAGUCGGGGAAAUGCCUGCUUCUUUGUGGAGGUUCAAUGUGGUGACAAGGACCUUCACUCUGGAACUUUUGGAGGCAUCAUUCAUGAACCGCUGAUGGACCUGAUAGCUCUGCUGGACAGCCUCGUGGAUCCCACAGGUCGUAUUCAGAUCCCUGGAAUCUAUGACAGCAUUGCUGCCCUGACAGAGAAGGAGAUGAAAUUGUAUGAAUCGAUUGAAUUUGAUCUAGAGGAACAUAAAAAUAACAGUGGAGUGAAAAAAUUCCUCUAUGACACCAAGGAAGAAAUACUUCUACACCUGUGGCGUUACCCUUCUCUCUCUAUUCAUGGGAUUGAAGGAGCUUUUCAUGAACCAGGAAUUAAAACUGUCAUUCCGGCAAAAGUCAUUGGCAAAUUCUCAAUCCGUCAGGUCCCCCACAUGGACCUUUCGGUUGUGAAACAACAGGUUGCGGAGCACUUGGAGGGUGUAUUUUCCAAGAGGAACAGUCCAAACAAACUGAAAGUGUCCAUGCCUUUGGGUGCAAAGCCGUGGCUCGCUGAUGUUAAUGAGCCAGUAUAUAAAGCAGCAAGAAGGGCAAUAAAAACAGUUUUUGGAGAAGAUCCAGAUUUUAUACAGGAUGGCUCAACAAUUCCUGUUGCCAGAAUGUUUCAAACUAUAACACAGAAAAGUGUGAUGAUGUUUCCAAUCGGAGCAGCUGAUGAUGGAGAGCACUCCCAGAAUGAGAAAAUAAGCAGGAAAGGGGACUCCAAGACAAGGACUGAGCCUCCAAGAUCAGAAGACUCCAGUUUGCACAUCAUCAGCUCACAAAACAGGUCCUCCACAGUCUCUCAGCUCCUUUUGCUUGUUUAAACCAUCUAGGAACAAGCAUGGUAAGGAACACUGCAUGGGAGACCACUCCAUUGUCUGCACAGAACUCUGAGCAGAUUUCUUCUUUAAAAGCUAUGGUCACUCCAUAAAGGUAAAUGAUUUAAUUUUGUUGAAGUAUUUAAGGGCAUACAAUUGACAAUAACAUUACUUGCAAUCUCCUGUCUUGCAGUGGCCUUAGAAAAUUACUUCAACCGUCACUGAAAGAACUGAUACUCAUAAAUAUGACCCAUUUGGCAGAGGAGAAGAGUAGUAAGCUUGGUGAGAUGUUUGAGGUGGUAUAUUUCCUCAUGCAAGAGAUACAGAGGCUGUGUUUCUAGGACUAUAACUGCUUUGGAAAACACUUCAUGCUGUCUAUAGGCUCUACAAUAUGAAGAAGUACAGCUAAAGGUGACCUUAUGCUAGAUAUAUUUUUUUCUGCUGCCCUUUGGGAAAUAAAAUAAAAAUACAGUCAACAAGGAGGAUAUCAUUUUAGAAAUACAGGCACAGUAUCAGGUUCUGCUCUGGAACAGCCAGCUACUUACUGUCAAGUUAAAACCAUGUGUGUGAAACCAAUGAAUUAUGCAGACCAUCUUCAUGCCUCUUCAGUCCCAGAAGAGAGAAACAGCAGAAAGCUUCAAUUACCAAUUCUUCUGGCUGUGAAAGAAAGGACUGGGGAAGCCACUCUUGCCUUUUUUUCCUGGUGUGUACCAUCUCAUUAGCCUUUUGAAAAACCUAUCCAGGUAGUAAGAACAUAGCUUUUUAGGGUUGUCCAACAGCAGCAUCUAUACCUUUGAGAGCUUGAUUGAGGUAUCAAGACUCGGAUGCCCAGUGCCACUGAGGAUGUCCUACAGUACCUGAGAAAUAUGCCCCGUGGAUGGCAGACACAACUCAAGCCCUGUGUGAGCACUGCCAGUGGAGCAGCAGCUGGUUGCAUGCAGCACCCCAGGGCACCUCCAGUAGCACCAGGUGCCUAGACAUAGUGGGUCAAGGUCUGCCUGUCUCCCUGGUCCAUUGUCCCUAGUCUUCCCUCUUGUAGACUAUACAUUCCCUAUAACAUUCCCAUGCUACAGGGAAUCAAAUGCUCAAGGAUGGGAUCAUAUUUCCCUAUUAAUUAUGAAUGUGAAAGAGUAAAUUGGGAGAUUUUAAUUUCUGUUUAAAAUCAGUGGGCUUAAAUGUGAAACUUGCUUUUGUAUACUAGAUGAAUACAGUUUUUAAUCCUUAAGUAGUGUCUGUAAAGAGAAGACUAAAAAAUGUGGCAGUCAGCUAAAAUAAUGAAGAAUGUGUAAAAUAGUAAGAUGCUGACAAUAGGAACUUAAGACACAGAGAGAUGAGCAACCUCCGGAGAACAAAGACUAAUCAGGUCACCAUCUACUUAGCAUGUGAAAGUGGAAGAUUAGGCUAACUCAUGUAGUUAUGGUUUUCCUUUUCAGUAACAGUACUCCCAAGAGCUUGACAUUAAGUCCUGCUAGUUGUUACUCUCAGAAUACGGCAUUUAGCUUGUUUGACAAAAUGUUAUACAAUGCCUUGCUAGUUAAGGAUGUCUAUAGUCCAUGUUGGGGGAGGGAAGAUUGUGCAUCUGUGCCUGCACCUGUGACACAGGAGCCCGUGCCACAGUGGCUGGUGCCAACAAGGAGCCACAAUCCCCUUCUUUCUGCUGGAAACUUCCACCUGCAAGUGACAUGUAAAGUUAAAAUAGUGAUGCAUGAAAAAUGUCCUGAAUGCAAUCUCAUUGCUUUCUAUAUCCUGCUCAGUGUCUCUGGCUCAUCUCCAUGGUGCUCAUCACUGGGGUGUGAAAGCUGCCUGUGUGUGCAAAACUCACACGUGGGUAAGUGUAUGUAACUGUGUGCCCUUGUUCUCACCCACCUCCACAGUCUGUCCUCUCUGCUAACAGAAACACACAUUUUCUACCAUGGGAUUUUCUAGGAUUAAAAAAAAAAAAAUGCAGUUUCUCAUUCUUUUUUCUUUUCACUUGCUUUCUCAAAUACGUCUGUUUUUAGAAGAUUUCUUUAGAAAGAUGCUGACUGUGGAAUUGGUCAGAUCUGCACACAUUGCCGUAGUUUUGGUGUUACUCUCUUAUGGAAGAAAGUGUGUUUCUUUACCAACACUUCUUGUCUCAAGGUGAAACUUAAUUGAUUUUCAAAUUUAUACCUUGUAUCAUAGAAUCACGGAGUAUCUUGAGCUGGAAGGGAUGUGUAAGGAUCACCGAGUCCAGCUCUAUGUAUGUCCAUAUAUACCUGUAUUUCUUGAGGUGCUGAUACAUUGUAUCCUUUAAGAGGUAAAUAAUUAUAUAAAUAUUUUAAACAGAAAUAUAUGAAUAGAAAAAUAUGAAUGGUUCCUUGUUAAUAGAGUGCAUUUUUGCUUAGCUCUACUGCCAAAUACUUCAGUGAUCCUCUCACUUGCAUUCUUUAGAAACAUGUAUGAAGAACAACUUCACAUUACAGGUCAUUUUGAUAAAUAUGUAGUAAAUGGUUUUCCUGGGAUACUGCUACAUUAGAUUACACAAAAAUAGACAGGAAAUUCAAAUUGACCUGUCAACAAUGCAAGCACGAUGGUAUACUAUUUUGCAAGCUCUUUGCAGAUUUUUUUUCAACUGAUGCUUGGGCUUGAACUGAACCCAAGGCACUUAACAUUUUAGUUUUGCCACUGGUUUCUAAGCAGGUAAAUGAAAGAGCCACUGACUGCUGUGAUGGAGAUUUCCAGCCCAGCCUGAGGGUGGGCAGUUCCUGCAAAGAUUUUCAGCUGAUUCUGCAACCAAUGUGGAAUGAGUUGCUUGAGAUGGGUGAUGGAGGUGGUUCCUAGUUACUAUGUCUAUUCUCACGGAGUUUUAAAAAUUGUAAAUACUAUUUGAAAGCAUGCUUUUGUUUUCACAUAAUUCCUUUCAGGUUCUUUGUGUGAAACUUGCCAUGUUCAUGUUUACCCCUCAAGGCAGGAAUGACAGCUGUGUUUGUGAUUUUAUUUCGUGGACUUAAAUUAUGUGUGUAAAAGUGCUUGCAAAAACAUAACUAGGCACUGAAUUUGGGUUGUAUUUGUUAAGAAAAUUUAGCCUUGGUAGAGGAAAAAAACCCACACUAAAAUCUUGAUUAAGCUUCAAAGUACACAAGGCACUAGGUGUAUCCUGUCAGCAAUGAAAAAUGGUCAUGUUCCUCACUCAAUGAGCAUCUCAGAACUUCAGUGUGUAGCUAGGAAACGCUUCCCAUAGAGUUGACAGUUCACACAGGUUCCUCUUUCAGUGGAUGUAGCUCUAACAGGACUUGGGUGCACGCGGCAGGGAGAUAAGAUGCUGACUCAGUGAAGAUGAAAACUAAGGAUUAAAUCUGUAUUUCAUGCAGCGUGACUUUCUUUGCAAGUUCCUCUCUGAUCUGAUACCACAUUAAAUCUUUAUGUUAACCUUUUGAUGCAUAAUGUCCCCGACUUGAUAUUUAUAUUUGAGGUAUCUGUCUUCACAAACUUGCUUUGUGGGUUUGCAUGAGAUGAAUUAUACAGUGGCAGAGCUGUAAAUACUGGCAAGCUGGACAUCUUCACAUGUAACAGGUGAUACAGGGUAAUAAAUUAAUCUCUUUCAUUUUACUGCAAUGAAUUACCUUUUUAUUAAAAAAAGCACAGUACAACAAAAACAAAUCCUUGAAGGUUUGGCACUGUCAGCAUCCAGACAGACUUAUAUAUAGCUGUACUUAAAAGAAACCAGAGGUUGUCUACAUACACGAGACUAAUACUGAUGUUGCUACCUGUCUUAAAAUAAUUCUAGUGAUCUCUCUCUGUGAAGUAACAUGAAGUGCCAGACAACUGAAUGUUCCCUGUCCUUUAGAUGCCUUUACUUUUUUUACUUUUUUUAUACCUACCUGUAAGAAUAAUACAAAAAUAGGGCUAGCCAUGUCUUUUUAUUUGUGGAGCUGAGGGGAAUAUUUUUGUUUUCUGAACUUAGAAUUGAAACUGUAGCCUGUCUUCAAAAUUUUCAGCGUGACACACUGCUGACAUGUAGAUUUCUAGUAUGAAGAAACAAGUGGUGGCAGAACCAUUACAUAUUCAUUUCAUGUAUGUUUGUAUCACUCUUUUUCACACAUAGAAAUCCAGGAGUUAGAACUGCUUUACUUAUCCUCUAGACAGGCCAGGAAGUUCUGUAUGCACGGUUACCAUCGCCAAUUUGGCAACAACUCUUGACAUUCCACUGACUGCUUCAAAUGAUACAGUUCCAUUGAACCACAGUGAAAGACCCAAUAAGAUCUGGCAAGUACAUCCUUUCUCAAGCCAUUUGUUUCUUAGAUUUUGGAUACCAGAAGUUAGUUACAUAGUCCACUUUAUACUGAAAAGCAGUGGAAUGAAUGAAGAUACAGUUUAAACCAACAAAACCAUGGAUACACAAGUCAUGUCACUCAUUUGCAUAUUAUGUAUUGUGUAUGCAAAACAUUUUAAUUGUUUGUGCUUAUAUACAAUUGCCUUAAAUGACCAUUUAUUUAUUUUUGUGAUAUUGACUACUGUGAUACUGAGGAGAAAGCUGGCUGGCUGCCGUUCUAGGCUUUUAAUCCAUCUUGUUACACAUCUCCCAGCUGUGCUGUAACUUGGCUUUAGAUGAGUACUACUCAAGAUUAUUCAGUAUCAGACUGAAGAUCAUGUCUGACUCCUCAACUGCGUGUGUGAAGACAUCGCUCAGUGCACAUGGAGAUAUCCCUGGCUCGUGCUUCUGUGUUGCAGGCUUCACAGGGAUCUGCUGACUGGCCAUCUGUAGGAUCAUCACUUAAAAAGGUAAGUACACUUUAGAAAUGGUCACUUAUAAAGCUGUUAAGUCCAAGCUUCAUAACAGAUCAUAACUUUGCUAGAAAAAAAAACCACCUUGAAAACUCACAGAAAUAUUGCCUUUGCUUUGCAAUAGGAAAGGUGGGGUUUUUUUAGCUACAGUUAUGUCUUCAGUUAUCCAAAUAAAAAGCAAAAAGGGUAACCGUUAAUCCUGUAGAAAUUCAGAUUAAUUCAGGUUCAUUUGGGUAAGAGGCUGACAUGAUCCACCAAAGUGGAACAAGUCCAGCUGUUUCAUUUCUUUAGGAGCUAAACAGAAAGCCUGUAAGGUGACUGGCAACAUUUUUGUUGUUUGUAUAAGUUCUCUAUGUUACAAUAGUAAACUUCAACACUAGGUAUCUAUCAGGGAGCGAGCAUUUUGUUUACUUGAAAAUGGAUAAAUACUUUCACUUCAUAUGAGUUACCUGCCACAACCGGGCUGCAAACCCACAGGUUAAGACAAAGUGAGUAAGAAGGCACAACCUUUAACGAAGGUGUGAGCAUGGGUGCCACCGGCAGCGUGAACCUGGUGGCAUAUCCUGGCACAAAGGUGCAGCUGUGCCCGGACAUAGCCACACCUCCUCAGGUCUCCAGAGCCAGAGGUUGCCUGUACAAUCAUGUACACAGUAGCACAUGAUUGGGACUAGAAUGCCUUUCAGAUUGGUUAUCUAAGAAUGCAUACAUUUAUCUCAUUAACUUAUUAUUCUCUUAAGCAAAUCAGAAAGGAACAGUGAGGCCUUUUUAUUCAGUCACCAACAUACAUGAAGUAAAUUUUCACCCAGUAAUUUCUGCAACAAGAAAAAAUUUAGUCCUGCUUUCCAAUUAAAAACCACCACUUGAUAAGGCUUAAAAAAUCCCUGGUGUUUACAUCCUAGUUAUUCUGAUGAUAUUUUCUUAUGGGUGUAAUUGCAUAGAAAAAAACAUAUGCAGAUUUUCUUCAACAACUUGCUACCUUGGGGGAGAAAUACUGGUGCUUAGGAUAUGCCUAUGGCCAAUACAGCUGACUGCUUGACUAUCCUAUAGAUCCAGCUCAGAGUCCCUUGCAAGGCUGGUCAGAGACAUUACCUGCGUGACCAUCAUCAAGUUCCACGGUCAACAUGUUAUUUUGCUAAACAAAUUUGAUGUGCACAACAAAAGCUGUAAUUCAGAGUUCGCUGCUCCUCGGUAAGCAGCUGAUGAAGUGAUUGAUGGACCUGGCAUACUAACCUGGCUGCAGAAAACAUUUAAAUACAGGGAGUUACCUGAGGCCCAGAUCUACGAAAAUUCAGAUGCACAUAAAAGGAAUUUGUAAACUGCAGAAAAAGUGAAGAUUGUGGGACACCAAAUGGUUAUUUAACCUAUUUUCCUAUGUUUAAAAACAUCAAGAAGAAUCAGACUGUUCUUAAUCAGAUUGUUCUUAAAACUGACAAUGGUUUCCAUAGCCUCUCAAUGACCUACUGAAGUUUUUAGAUGUCCUUAUAAAGGUAAAUAUAUAUAUAAACAAAGAUAUUUUUACUACAAAUUAAGGGGUCUUCCCCUGUGUAGAUUUGUUGUUAUACAGAGGACAAUUAAAAUAUGUACUAUAACCCUGAGGGACUGGACAGAGCCUUCUGGUACCUAUGUUCUUAUCUCCUUAUGCAUUAUAAACCUUGUUCAUUCGUUUCCAUCUUUA